rnacentral:rRNA from 1 species
AGAAUCAACGCUGGCGGCGUGCCUAACACAUGCAAGUCGAACGAGAAAGGGGUAGCAAUACCCUGAGUAAAGUGGCGCACGGGUGAGUAACACGUGACUAACCUACCCUUGAGUGGGGGAUAACUGAGGGAAACCUUAGCUAAUACCGCAUAAUACCCACGGGUCAAAGGAGCAAUUCGCUCGAGGAGGGGUCGCGGCCGAUUGGUUAGUUGGCGGGGUAAUGGCCCACCAAGACGAUGAUCGGUAU